UUGAUGACUAAUAUUGGGAAUUUUACUGGA
rnacentral:piRNA from 1 species